UGCCUAGGAAAGCCUUAGUGUUGGGAGG
rnacentral:piRNA from 1 species